CCGGCAGGAGAGAAGGAAGAAGGAAGAGUGGAGCCAGGGCGGCUCCGAGGCCUUGAAUCCUAGGCCUUGAUUCCCCUUGCUUUCCGUGGCCCAUGCUCUUUGGGGGCCAGGCGGCCUGGUGACAGUUGCGUGGACCCCUGUUACCAAGGAAGCAGUUCCCGUUGGGAUCAUCAGAUUUUUGGUCUAGCUCAGCAAAGCCACAGCUGCUCCGGCCUUAGAAAAGGAGAUGUUGGUAAACAAAGGGGAGAUGCGGUUUAGGAGGGCGGGGCGGGGAGUGCAGCUGGGCCCCGACCCCAAGGCCCGCGGUUCCCACCCUGGUCCUGUUUUGAUUCCUGCUCUGCGGGCUUACAGGGUGAGAGCAGGUGGCCUGGCUCUCCCGACCUGCCCCCGCCAGCGUCCUCGUGCCCUCUGCUGGCAGAGACGGAGAAGGACCCGGGAGGGCGCGGUGUGCGCGUGCGCAUGUUUGCUUCCCCAUGCGUGCCUUCCCGACCUCAUUCAAACACCAGGAGGCUUUGACUUCAGCUUCAGUAAUAAAAAUUUAUUGAGAAUUCCUGGGGUGGUGGUUAUCACCUCCGGACCACGAGGGAGG